rnacentral:rRNA from 1 species
UACGGGAGGGAGCUAGCGUUGUUCGGAAAUACUGGGCGUAAAGCGCACGUAGGCGGCGCAGCAAGUCAGGGGUGAAAUCCCGGGGCUCAACCCCGGAACUGCCCUUGAAACUGCAGUGCUAGAAUUCUGGAGAGGCGAGUGGAAUUCCGAGUGUAGAGGUGAAAUUCGUAGAUAUUCGGAAGAACACCAGUGGCGAAGGCGACUCGCUGGACAGACAUUGACGCUGAGGUGCGAAAGCGUGGGGAGCAAACAGG